AAACGAAAGAGUUUGAUCCUGGCUCAGAUUGAACGCUGGCGGCGUGCUUUACACAUGCAAGUCGGGCGGCAGCACGAGGGAGACCUUGGUGGCGAGCGGCGAACGGGUGAGUAAUACAUCGAGACGUACCUUGUAGUGGGGGAUAACUCAUCGAAAGAUGAGCUAAUACCGCAUAAUCUCUGAGGAGGAAAGGUGGGGACCAGAAAUGGCCUGUUGCUAUAAGAGCGGUCGAUGGUCGAUUAGCUAGUUGGUGGGGUAAAUGCUUACCAAGGCGAUGAUCGAUAGCUGUUCUGAGAGGAAGAUCAGCCACACUGGGACUGAGACACGGCCCAGACUCCUACGGGAGGCAGCAGUGGGGAAUAUUGGACAAUGGGGGGAAC
rnacentral:rRNA from 1 species